rnacentral:rRNA from 1 species
AUGAACGCUGGCGGCGUGCCUAAUACAUGCCAGUCGAGCGAACGGACGAGAAGCUUGCUUCUCUGAUGUUAGCGGCGGACGGGUGAGUAACACGUGGAUGACCUACCUAUAAGACUGGGAUAACUUCGGGAAACCGGAGCUAAUACCGGAUAAUAUUUUGAACCGCAUGGUUCAAAAGUGAAAGACGGUCUUGCUGUCACUUAUAGAUGGAUCCGCGCUGCAUUAGCUAGUUGGUAAGGUAACGGCUUACCAAGGCAACGAUGCAUAGCCGACCUGAGAGGGUGAUCGGCCACACUGGAACUGAGACACGGUCCAGACUCCUACGGGAGGCAGCAGUAGGGAAUCUUCCGCAAUGGGCGAAAGCCUGACGGAGCAACGCCGCGUGAGUGAUGAAGGUCUUCGGAUCGUAAAACUCUGUUAUUAGGGAAGAACAUAUGUGUAAGUAACUGUGCACAUCUUGACGGUACCUAAUCAGAAAGCCACGGCUAACUACGUG